UCGAGGAUCUUCGGCAAUGGGCGCAAGCCUGACCGAGCGAUGCCGCGUGUGCGACGAAGGCCUUCGGGUUGUAAAGCACUGUCGAGAGGGAGAAAAGCCGAAAGGUUUGAUCUAUCUCUGGAGGAAGGGCGGGCUAAGUUCGUGCCAGCAGCCGCGGUAAGACGAACCGCCCGAACGUUAUUCGGAAUCACUGGGCUUAAAGGGAGCGUAGGCGGGCUGCCAAGUCCGGGGUGAAAUCCUCCAGCUUAACUGGAGAACUGCCUCGGAUACUGGAAGUCUCGAGGAGGGUAGGGGCACGCGGAACUGUGGGUGGAGCGGUGAAAUGCGUUGAUAUCCAUAGGAACUCCGGUGGCGAAGGCGGCGUGCUGGACCCUUUCUGACGCUGAGGCUCGAAAGCCAGGGGAGCAAACGG
rnacentral:rRNA from 1 species